rnacentral:rRNA from 1 species
UACGUAGGGUGCGAGCGUUAAUCGGAAUUACUGGGCGUAAAGGGUGCGUAGGCGGGUCUUUAAGUCAGGGGUGAAAUCCUGGAGCUCAACUCCAGAACUGCCUUUGAUACUGAAGAUCUUGAGUUCGGGAGAGGUGAGUGGAACUGCGAGUGUAGAGGUGAAAUUCGUAGAUAUUCGCAAGAACACCAGUGGCGAAGGCGGCUCACUGGCCCGAUACUGACGCUGAGGCACGAAAGCGUGGGGAGCAAACAGG